CCUGUCCAACUCCCUUUGAGCAAUUUUAUUGCUAUGCAACCCUCUUAGAACACUCUUACAUGCAUCCACAGCUUUGUAUACCUGUAUGUUUAUGGAACCAAACUGAUUAAUUUCUUCGGACUGAUAAAAGAACUAAAUGCAAAUAUAAAGAAAUGAAACCCACCUUGCCUGGAGUUGAUGUUACAGAUAUCACAUACCAUCCAAGCUUAAGCCUAUCAAAUAGGCUUAACUCAAAUGACACAUCGUAUGUCAGUCCAAGAGAAUCUCUGACAGUGGUGAAAAGCCU
rnacentral:lncRNA from 1 species